rnacentral:tRNA from 1 species
GGACGAUUAGCUCAGUUGGUUAGAGCAUCUGUUUUACACGCAGAGGGUCAUAGGUUCGAAUCCUAUAUCGUCCACCA